rnacentral:rRNA from 1 species
AUUGAACGCUGGCGGCAGGCCUAACACAUGCAAGUCGAGCGGGGUUUUCGGACCUAGCGGCGGACGGGUGAGUAAUGCGUAGGAAGCUACCCGACAGAGGGGGAUACCAGUUGGAAACGACUGUUAAUACCGCAUAAUGUCUACGGACCAAAGUGUGGGACCUUCGGGCCACAUGCUGUCGGAUGCGCCUACGUGGGAUUAGCUAGUUGGUGAGGUAAUGGCUCACCAAGGCGACGAUCCCUAGCUGGUUUGAGAGGAUGAUCAGCCACACUGGAACUGAGACACGGUCCAGACUCCUACGGAGGCAGCAGUGGGAAUAUUGGACAAUGGGCGCAAGCCUGAUCCAGCCAUGCCGCGUGUGUGAAGAA